rnacentral:rRNA from 1 species
GGGAUUCCCCUAGUAGCGGCGAGCGAAGCGGGAAGAGCUCAAAUUUAUAAUCUGGCACCUUCGGUGUCCGAGUUGUAAUCUCUAGAAAUGUUUUCCGCGUUGGACCGCACACAAGUCUGUUGGAAUACAGCGGCAUAGUGGUGAGACCCCCGUAUAUGGUGCGGACGCCCAGCGCUUUGUGAUACAUUUUCGAAGAGUCGAGUUGUUUGGGAAUGCAGCUCAAAUUGGGUGGUAAAUUCCAUCUAAAGCUAAAUAUUGGCGAGAGACCGAUAGCGAACAAGUACCGUGAGGGAAAGAUGAAAAGCACUUUGGAAAGAGAGUUAACAGUACGUGAAAUUGUUGGAAGGGAAACGCUUGAAGUCAGACUUGCUUGCCGAGCAAUCGGUUUGCAGGCCAGCAUCAGUUUUCCGGGAUGGAUAAUGGUAGAGAGAAGGUAGCAGUUUCGGCUGUGUUAUAGCUCUCUGCUGGAUACAUCUUGGGGGACUGAGGAACGCAGUGUGCCUUUGGCGGGGGUUUCGACCUCUUCACACUUAGGAUGCUGGUGGAAUGGCUUUAAACGACCCGUCUUGAAACACGCGGGACCAGG